rnacentral:lncRNA from 1 species
UUCGUUGACCCAUCCCCGUUCGUCAGGUCGCCCCUCAUGGUGAGUGCUGCCACUUCCAGGUCUUCUUUCUCUUCCUCCUCUCAACUGCUCCUCCCCAUCUCCACUCCACUAGCCCCCUACUACUCGCUGACCCCCUGAGCAACUGCUCGAGUCCCCUCCCAAUCUAGUCCCCAAAUUUCUCAAAUCAAGCAGUCGCAAGUGAGUAUAAGUGGAUCUGCAGGCUGUAGCUGCAAAUUCGUCAAGGGGGAGCAACGAUUCGAAAAGCUACUGUAACAGGUACGUAUUGUUGUUUCAGAUAGCCGGCCAAGAGGAUCAAGUCCAAGAGAAAGAGAGGUGAAGACAAUGGUUUUGCGCUGCUCAACUGACGCAUCUUUUCUGCUUCUUCUGUUAUUAUUAGACUAGCUCAAACGGCUGCCGAAUUACAAGGAAAAUACCCACACCUUCAACAGGCCUACUGGUCGUGCCAUCCCACGACGCCUAGUUAAGAUCGGGCGACUACUUUGCCCGCACGGACCGCAGCAACGAUCAUGCCAUCCCAUGACCUGGUAAGGCAAGCAAAACUAGCUAACAGACUAACUGAAAACUACUGACAGAAAACAUCUAACUGAAACUUCUGACCCCGUGCGUGUACAAGCACACGCCGACGGUCAGUGUUUAUUCAGAGUACUGUAACCUGAAACUUGAGUGUGUGUGUAGUUUAUCCAACAAAUCACCCUCUAAUAUGCUACACACUGAAUCACCCCUAGCUUGUGUUGUAGCUCAACGUACCGGCUCCUUCCAAGGGAUUUUGUGAAAAUGUCUGCAACUUGGUCUCCGGUUCUGACAUGGACGAUAUCCACUCGCCCCAGCUCAACACACUCUUUGCUAUAGUGAUACCUGAGGUCAAUGUGUUUACUCCUCUCAUGAUGCACCGGAUUUUUGCUCAGUUCGAUUGCAGAUCUGUUGUCAACAUGCAGCUUGACCUUCUGAACUUUUGUACCCAGCAUUUCAGCAAGCAACCUGCUCAGCCACACAGCCUGACUUGCUGCUGUCGCUGCUGCUAUGUACUCGGCCUCGCAUGAAGAUUUUGCAACCACCUUCUACUUCUGGGAGGACCAAGUAAUAGCACCUGAACCGGGGAAAAACACAAUACCCGUGGUACUUUUCCUGUCAUCAAGAUCUCCUACGUGGUCACUAUCACUGAAACCAAUGAGAAUAGUUUCCCCUUCUGCUCUGUAGAUACACCCAAGAUUCAGGGUGCCCUUGAUGUACCUCAGAACUUGCUUGAUGAAACGGCUUAGAAGCCCCAUAACAUAUGUAAUGUCAGGUCGUGUGUUUACCAGGUACCGCAGGCUCCCAAUGAGACUUCGACGAUAUUCAGUUGCAUCCACUGCUCCUCCCUGGUUCUUCCUCAACUUCAGGCGAUUUUCCAGUGGUGUAUGACUGGCAUUGCACUGAUCCAUGCCAGCAUCUUCCAGAAUCUUCUUAGCAUAGCUGGACUGGCAAACACUGAUUCCAUACUGGUCCUGCUUCACUUCUAAAUCCAGAUAGUAAAUUAGGAGACCAAGAUCGCUCAUCUGAAACAUGUCCUGCAUCUGCUGCUUGAACUGCUUGAUAACAUCUUCAGAGGACCCAAAGAUGAUUAGAUCGUCGACGUACACCCCAACCAGCAAAUGAUCACUUCCUUUCCCACGCUUGUACAGGGCAUGAUCCAAACGACACUUCUCAAAACCAAGGGAAACCAGGGUAGUGUCCAGCUUGGUAUUCCAUGCUUGGGGUGCCUGAUGGAGCCCAUACAGAGCCUUCCGCAGCUUCAGAACCUUGCUGGGAUUGCAGCUGUCGAUGAAACCUGCUGGCUGAUGCACAUAAACUUCUUCCUGCAGUUCCCCAUUCAGAAAAGCAGAUCGCACAUCCAUGUGAUGCACUGACCACCGCCGUUGCGCCGCCACUGCAAGCAACAGGCUCACUGUUUCCAGACGAGCUACGAGAGCGAACACUUCGUCAAAAUCCACCCCUUGCCUCUGUGUGUAUCCCUUUGCCACCAGACAAGCUAUGUGCUUCACAAUAUUUCCAGCUGGAUCGCGCUUCACCUUGAACACCCACUUUAGUCCGAUGGCGCGAUGACCGGCAGGCAGGGAGGCAAGAGACCAGGUGCUGUUGGAGCGGAUGGAGUCCAUCUCUGCCCCCAUUGCGUCGCGCCAGGCAGGUUCAUCCAGUGCAUCCUCGACAGACGCGGGUUCCUCUGCAGCAGAGAGACAAAGGCCGCUGUAUUCCAAAGUGCACUCCGGUGCAUGGUCGAUGACGUACUCCAUCGAUUUGAAACGGACAUGCACCCCCUCGGCGUCGAAGUCCUCGCCGGUGAGUGGAGUCACCCACCCGUCUUCCGGAUCAUAGGAUCUUGCUGGUGAGUACGGACUUGUACCCACUGAGACUGGCGUCCACUCCGCGCUUGACGUGCUCACAUCAGACCCGCCCGACAUGGGCAUCUGUGGUGAGGUCGGCGAGGCCGGCGAGCUUGGUGAAGAUGGCGAGCUUGAUGCAGUCGGUGAUGCAGGCGUGUGUGGUGGCACCGCUGCGCCCGGCGACACAGAGUAGGUCGCCGUCACGGGCACACCUACGUCGGUGUGCAUGACCGUGAACUCACGGGCGUGCUCCGAGUCGCCACCGUCCUUGCUCUGGUUCCAGCGCCGGUCUUCCUCAAAACGCACAUCCCGUGUGAUGAACAAGCGCUUGCCGACCGGGUCGUACACCUGAUACCCCUUUGUGCCCGGCUCGUAUCCGAGGAAAAUACCGGGGCACGAUCUGUCUGCCAGCUUAGUCACGCCAGGUCCGACGAGCUUGACAUGCGCGAUGCAGCCGAAGGCGCGGAAGUAGUCCACCGUCGGCUUUUUCUUGCGCCAUGCUUCGUAUGGAGUGAUGUUGUAGGCUUCUGGUUGCGACCUAUUCAGAAUAUGGACGGCGGUACGCAUGACCUCGCCCCAGAACGUGCACGGCACGUCCAUGGCCUUCAAGAGGCUACGCGCCAUCUCCACUACGGACUGGUUCCGCCGUUCAACCACUCCAUUUUGCUGGGGAGAGUAGGGCGUCGUUGUGUUCCUGUUGAUUCCCAUCUCCUCGCAGUAGGUGGCGAAAUCGUUCGACGUGAACUCGCAUCCCUGUCCGUGCGGAACGCCCGAAGCUUGGUGUUGCCCUGCGUCUCCGCCAGCGCCUUGAUCUUCUUGAAGUACCGAAACGCCUCAUCUUUGCUCUUUAGUACCUCAAGCCACAUGUAUCUACUGAAAUCAUCAACAAUCGACAGGAAGUACUUGUUACCGCUGGCCGUCGCCGGAGUGAUUGGGCCGCACAGAUCACCAUGAACAAGCUCGAGCGCGCCUCAGCGUGGUAAGCCGACACGCGCGGGAAGGGCGUCUGGUGCAUCUUGCCAAUGGUGCACCCCUCACAGAACUGAUCGAGGUGCGCAAUCGCUAGCAUCCCGCGCACCAUGGUCUUCGCCCCGAGUUCGUGCAGCGCGCGGAAAUGCAGGUGGCCGAACCUGGCGUGCCACCUCCAGGACACGUCCUGGACUCCGGCGAGCAGGCACACGGGAGUGGCCAAGUUCAGAGCCACGGCGUAAAGCCGGUUGCUCAUCCGCCGCACCCGCGCCAGUAGCAGCUUCUGCCUGUCGUACAGACAGAGCUCGCCGUCCUCAAUGACAGUCCUGGACCCAUUCUCGUCGAGUUGUCCGAUGCUGACGAUGCUCGUGCGCAGCUGCGGGAUGUAGUAGACGUCCGCGAGUGCUCGAUGUUCUCCACUGCGGCACGAAAACAACACGGCGCCGUGUCCACAGAUCUGCAGUGCAGAGCCAUCACCGAAACAAACUGUACCUCGUACUGUCUCAUCAAGCUCCGAGAUCAUGUCGCGGCGCCCUGUCAUAUGGUUGCUGGCGCCGGUGUCCAGGUACCAGCGGUCGUCGUCCGUCGCCACCGGCAUGACUCGCGCCUCGUUGAGGAAGAUCUCGGUGCCUGGUUCAUGUCUGCUGUCGAUCGCGUCCUCCCCGCUCACCACCACACAGGUGGCCAACAGCAAGCCUGGUUGCUCGACGUCGACCUGAGCGAUGUUUGCCUGUUGGUCCGGUUGCUCGCGCUGGUCCCUUUCCUUCUUGCGACAUUCCUUGGCCCAGUGCCCUGGGAUGCCGCAGUAGCGGUAGUUGCCCUUUCGCUUGGGCGUCGCCAGACCGCCGUUGCCGCAGCCGCCCGCUCUGGGCACAGCCGCCCCCGCCUUGGAGGUUCUUCGGCUUGCCGUUUCCGCGCCCCCGCCCCGCUCCAGAGCCUGAGGACGCGCCGCCCUGGUCCAGCAACUUCUCGUGUGCCCGCCACUGGUCAAUGGUGUAUAGCAGCUGCGUGCCGGGCGCUGGGGUCUCCUCGUGCUCUCACUCCUCGACGACAAGGAGCCGGCCGCAGAGUUCCUCGAGGGAGAGCUGCCUGGUGUCGACGAGUGACUCGAUCGCCACGGCCAUCUCGUGGUAUGGGCGUGGCACGGUGCGGAGCACCUUGAGGACAGCUUUGUGCUCAUCCACGGGGUCGCCGAGCGCGUGCAGCUCGUCGAUGAUCGUCUUGAGUCGCAUGACAUAUGACUCGAUCCCCUCGCCGUCCUUGUACCGUAGUGCCUCCUACUCCGAGCGGCGAGUCUGCGCCUUGGCCUCGCGCACGCUUUCGACGCCGACGCGCAUGGUCUUCAGGGUGUCCCACGCCUCCUUGGCUGUGGCCUUGGCGCCCAGGAUUCGCAUGAGCUCCGGCGGCACCCCCUUUAGGAGGGCGAUCAUGGCGCGCCGGUCGUCGUGAUCUGUGCCUUGCCCCGUCUCCACCACGCGCCAGAGUUCGUCCGCCUGCAACUGCAGUUUAGUGAUCAUAGCCCAAUCGGAGUAGUUUGUGCACGUGAGCAUCAUCGGGGGCCCGCCGCCGCCGCUGUUGUGCACGACGCGCACCCCUAAUCCCUCCUCAGUGGAGAGAUGCGCCAAUGAUUUCUCCAGUGCCACGACCUCCGCCGCGGCCUUCUCCUCCUCGAUCUCCUUCUUUGACUUCUCGUCGCCGCUGCCGGCCAUCUCUCCGACGGAUCAGACACCGCCGGCGCCCAGGAUGGAUCGAACACCACCGAGGCUCUGAUACCACUUGUUGUUUCAGAUAGCCGUCCAAGAGAAAGAGAGGUGGAAGACAAUGGUUUUGCGCUGCUCAACUGAUGCAACUUUUCUGCUUCUUCUGUUAUUAUCAGACUAGCUCAAACGGCUGACGAAUUACAAGAAAAAUACCCACACCUUCAGCAGGCCUACUGGUCGUGCCAUCCCACGACG